rnacentral:lncRNA from 1 species
GAUUUUAUUUAAUGCACUUUUGAUUUAAGAUUUUUGUGAUUCUGCAUUAAAGAUAAAUCUGACAAAUAUUAUUCAUGUAGGCUCUUACAAUUAAACUUUGUUUCUAUAACAAAGUGUCUAUAAAGUUGGAGCUGAGUCUCAGGUUGAAGUGCCAAAACUAUACAUUGUAAUUUGCAAUAUUUUCCCCAGUUAUCAGAAUCUUAAC